GAGCCUUUGCUGCCAGAGUGGGCUGGAAUCUUCCGCGUAUGAAACCUUCUGUCCAGCCUCCCCACCCCCAACCCCCAUUCCUCCGCCCCGCAUUGCCCUGAAAACACCGCCUCCUUCCAGCUUGCAGAUCCCGCCCCAACGGGAUCUCGCCUGGGAAUCUCUCACAUUGCUGAGUGGUGAACAACAUGCCUGGGCCUCCCUGGGUCCCAGGGCAGAGAGAGAAUUUCAAGCACAAGUAAUGAGACCACCACCAGUUCGGUGUAGAAUGGAGCCCAUACCAGCCAAUGAUGGUGAUUCCAUGAGUGAAUACGAUCACUAGACCAGAGCAAGGUAAGCGAGCUCUAAACCUGUGAAAGAAACUCCAACAGUGGAUGGAGAAAGGGAUCCACUGUCUCUUGAGGUCCCAACUGUAUGAAUCUGAAUUUGACAAAAUGCCUCCCGGUAAGUUUCGAUGCAGGUACGUUUGAUUUGACCUCAAUAAAACAUUGACUUUUGGCCA
rnacentral:lncRNA from 1 species